rnacentral:rRNA from 1 species
GAGGGAGGGUCUAGGUUAGGUUCAGUCUCUGGGGCAGUCAGAGGGGGCUUUACUUUGGGUGGCGGCGGCGGAAACAGAGGGGUUGGUUGGUGUUGGGUGGCCGCUGGAGGAGGGUGAGAGGUAGAGGGAGCGGAGGGGAGAGCAGGAGAACAGAGGGAUGAUCCGGGGUUUAGCUGAGCCGGAAGAGGAAGAGACCGGUGCUGGUCUAGGCGUGGUCGCAAGGGCGUAGCCGCGGCGUCUAGGUCAGGAAAGGGACGUCCUGUAGGGAAGGAGGGUGGGUGGCAGCUGGAGCGGCACGAGGAGUGGGUGGCGGGUGGAACAGGAAGGGAGGGGAGUGGUAGAGAGGGAUGGGAUACGGGGUCUAGCUCAGCUCGUCCAGCCGGCUGCGCGAUCCCAAGGCAGCGAGGCGGGGAUGGCAGCGGCGCUAGCGGGGCCACGAGGGGCGAGGCGGGGGGUGGGCUGGGGGCUCUAGGGCGGUGGCAGUUCCGGUGACCUCUCUAGGCAGCCCCAUCCGUCCGGGUCUGAUCUCCCUGUUGGGCCCCUACAAGCCCUACGCCCGUACGCCGCGUCGCCGCAGCACCCACCACCCCACCUACCCGUGCCUACGCGUGGACAUGCUGCUGGGCCUCCGGCAGCGGUAGGGCCGCGACGAGCUGAGGGUGAAGUUGCAGCUGUUCCAGCUGCGCGAGUUCGCGGAGGAGCGGGAGUAGCGGGUCCCCCAGCUGCAGCGUGUGGAGAAGGGGGUCCACCACUUCUUGUAACACCGUGUCAGCGAGCUCCAGUUCUUAGAGCAGAUGGAGAUGGACGAGGUGGUGUGGCUCUGCUGUUACCUUUAGGAAACAAGCCUCUCGUUUUGGUUCAACUUCACUCACCCUAAAAUCGUACCGACGACAACCGGGAAACAUGGCACGGUCAAGUUCCACAGCCUGACCAAGGACUUGUCCUUCUUCCUGAUGUUCCUGUACUCCAAGAGGGUCCAGCAGAGGUUGCGGUAGCUGUACUUCGAGUCCCUAGUGGAACUCUCCGAGUUCUUCUAGUCCCUCGAGGCGUAGGCUCAGAGCAGGUAGGAGCCGUCGUUCCUCGACCCGGUUCCCUCGUUCGUCGCGACGACCAAUGAACCCCGGUCUAGCUCAUUCUACCGCGUGGUACCGCACACCGCCGGAUAAAACGAAGGUACUCGUCAUGACAAAUAAACUUUACUCUACAUGAGCAGAUCACGGAUCAUUUUUCAUGACGGAUCAUGACAAAUAAAACGAAGGUUCUCGUCAUGGCAAAUAAAACGAAGGUACCGCACACCGCCGGAUAAAACUUACUAACAGUACAUGACACUACAUCACUCGACAUCCUCAUUUUACUCUAUUGUGAACACCUCGAACAAUAGACUAACAUUUGAACUACGACUAGUGUAAACAUACACACAGUAUACUACAUCGUGAAAUUGCCAACUAUUGUAAACUUCAUAAAGUA